rnacentral:rRNA from 1 species
GACGAACGCUGGCGGCGUGCUUAACACAUGCAAGUCGAACGGUGAAGCGCCUUCCUUUUUGGUGGGUGUGGAUGAGUGGCGAACGGGUGAGUAACACGUGAGUAACCUGCCCCCUUCUUCUGGAUAACCGCAUGAAAGUGUGGCUAAUACGGGAUAUUCUGGGUCUGUCGCAUGAUGGGUCUGGGAAAGAUAUUGUUUCGGUGGGGGAUGGGCUCGCGGCCUAUCAGCUUGUUGGUGGGGUGAUGGCCUACCAAGGCGGUGACGGGUAGCCGGCCUGAGAGGGUGGACGGUCACACUGGGACUGAGACACGGCCCAGACUCCUACGGGAGGCAGCAGUGGGGAAUAUUGCACAAUGGGCGCAAGCCUGAUGCAGCGACGCCGCGUGAGGGAUGGAGGCUUUCGGGUUGUGAACCUCUUUCGCCAGUGAAGCAGGCCUGCCUCGUUUGUGGGUGGGUUGACGGUAGCUGGAUAAGAAGCGCCGGCUAACUACGUG